AUUGAUUUUAUGCUUGCAUAAAUGAUUUUUGGAUUCGGAGCGAGUGGCGAACUGGUGUGUAACACGUGGGUAACCUGCCCCGAAGUGGGGGAUAACAUUUGGAAACAAGUGCUAAUACCGCAUAAUUAGUUGGAACCGCAUGGUUCCAACUUGAAAGAUGGCUCUGCUAUCACUUUGGGAUGGACCCGCGCCGUAUUAGUUAGUUGGUGAGAUAAAAGCCCACCAAGACGAUGAUACGUAGCCGACCUGAGAGGGUAAUCGGCCACAUUGGGACUGAGACACGGCCCAGACUCCUACGGGAGGCAGCAGUAGGGAAUCUUCCACAAUGGACGAAAGUCUGAUGGAGCAACGCCGCGUGAGUGAUGAAGGUUUUCGGAUCGUAAAACUCUGUUGUUAAAGAAGAACAAGUGUUAGAGUAACUGUUAACACUUUGACGGUAUUUAACCAGAAAGCCACGGCUAACUACGUGCCAGCAGCCGCGGUAAUACGUAGGUGGCAAGCGCUGUCCGGAUUUAUUGGGCGUAAAGCGAGCGCAGGCGGUUUUGUAAGUCUGCUGUGAAAGCCCUCAGCUCAACUGAGGAAGUGCAGUGGAAACUACAAAACUUGAGUGCAGAAGGGGAAAGUGGAGCUCCAUGUGUAGCGGUGAAAUGCGUAGAUAUAUGGAAGAACACCAGUGGCGAAGGCGGCUUUCUGGUCUGUUACUGACGCUGAGGCUCGAAAGCAUGGGUAGCGAACAGGAUUAGAUACCCUGGUAGUCCAUGCCGUAAACGAUGAAUACUAGGUGUUGGAGGGUUUCCGCCCUUCAGUGCCGCAGCUAACGCAUUAAGUAUUCCGCCUGGGGAGUACGACCGCAAGGUUGAAACUCAAAGGAAUUGACGGGGGCCCGCACAAGUGGUGGAGCAUGUGGUUUAAUUCGAUGCUACGCGAAGAACCUUACCAGCUCUUGACAUCUUCUGCCAACCCAAGAGAUUGGGCGUUCCCUUCGGGGACAGAAUGACAGGUGGUGCAUGGUCGUCGUCAGCUCGUGUCGUGAGAUGUUGGGUUAAGUCCCGCAACGAGCGCAACCCUUAUUAUUAGUUGCCAGCAUUUAGUUGGGCACUCUAGUGAGACUGCCGGUGAUAAA
rnacentral:rRNA from 1 species